rnacentral:rRNA from 1 species
GAUGAACGCUAGCGGGAGGCCUAACACAUGCAAGCCGAGCGGUAUAGAAUCUUCGGAUUUUAGAGAGCGGCGUACGGUGCGGAACACGUGUGCAACCUAUCUUUAUCUGGAGGAUAGCCUUUCGAAAGGGAAGAUUAAUACUCCAUAAUAUAUUGAUUGGCAUCAAUUAAUAUUGAAAGCUCCGGCGGAUAGAGAUGGGCACGCGCAAGAUUAGUAGUUGGUGAGGUAACGGCUCACCAAGACGAUGAUCUUUAGGGGGCCUGAGAGGGUGAUCCCCACACUGGUACUGAGACACGGACCAGACUCCUACGGGAGCAGCAGUGAGGAAUAUUGGACAAU